AUGCAUCUUGUCUUUUGUUUAGUCAAAUGUAACCUUACGCUUCAUUCCAUUGUGCAGGUGAGUACUUGGUUGCGCAACUCUGUGAAUCAUAUCGAUGGUAAUGCAAAGAAGGCAGAAUACUGCUGGAAGGAGGUUGUUGCUACAUACAACUACACAAUUGAGAGUGACCGACAAGGGGAUGUGAAGCACCUCAAGAACCAUUGGUACAAAACAACAAAGAAGGUAACCUCUUUCAAUGGAUGCUACAACAAGAUUAGAGACACCCAUGCAAGUGGACGGUGUGAUAAACAACUCAUGUAG
rnacentral:rRNA from 1 species